UGAGUAACCUGCCCUUAACUCUGGGAUAAGCCUGGGAAACUGGGUCUAAUACCGGAUAUGACUCCUCAUCGCAUGGGUGGGGGGUGGAAAGCUUUAUUGUUGGUUUUGGAUGGACUCGCGGCCUAUCAGCUUGUUGGUGAGGUAAUGGCUCACCAAGGCGACGAUGGGUAGCCGGCCUGAGAGGGUGACCGGCCACACGUGGGACUGAGACACGGCCCAGACCUCCGUACGGGGAGCAG
rnacentral:rRNA from 1 species